rnacentral:lncRNA from 1 species
CUGCCUUAAAAGAGAGUGAUGCUCAGAGAGCUUACUAUGGAGCUCUCCCAUCUCAAGCUCAUGCAAGCCACCAUCCUGAUCCUCCCUCAGUUGCAACUCCAUAAUAUCUGCCUCAACCUGCUCAAUUCGGUGAAAAAUGUCACCCACCUCCAAGUGGUUCUAUCUGAGGAACCUAUGUCUGGCUAGCUCCAGCUGUGGGUCAUCCUGUACCUUGUAUCCCCAUGCAUCGGUAGCCUCCACACCUUCCAAAUCAAGUCCCA